rnacentral:rRNA from 1 species
GUAACAAGGUCUCCGUUGGUGAACCAGCGGAGGGAUCAUUACCGAGUUUACAACUCCCAAACCCCAAUGUGAACGUUACCAAUCUGUUGCCUCGGCGGGAUUCUCUGCCCCGGGCGCGUCGCAGCCCCGGAUCCCAUGGCGCCCGCCGGAGGACCAACUCAAACUCUUUUUUCUCUCCGUCGCGGCUUCCGUCGCGGCUCUGUUUUACCUUUGCUCUGAGCCUUUCUCGGCGACCCUAGCGGGCGUCUCGAAAAUGAAUCAAAACUUUCAACAACGGAUCUCUUGGUUCUGGCAUCGAUGAAGAACGCAGCGAAAUGCGAUAAGUAAUGUGAAUUGCAGAAUUCAGUGAAUCAUCGAAUCUUUGAACGCACAUUGCGCCCGCCAGUAUUCUGGCGGGCAUGCCUGUCCGAGCGUCAUUUCAACCCUCGAACCCCUCCGGGGGGUCGGCGUUGGGGAUCGGCCCCUCACCGGGCCGCCCCCGAAAUACAGUGGCGGUCUCGCCGCAGCCUCUCCUGCGCAGUAGUUUGCACACUCGCACCGGGAGCGCGGCGCGGCCACAGCCGUAAAACACCCCAAACUCUGAAAUGUUGACCUCGGAUCAGGUAGGAAUACCCGCUGAACUUAAGCAUAUCAAUA